rnacentral:sRNA from 1 species
AUGUAACUGUGUACACUGCAGUUGCUGCGCGCUUUCCGCGGCCACCCGACAGCCACUCGCGACGUUUUGUCAGCC